rnacentral:tRNA from 1 species
GAGAAUUUAGCUUAAUUAAAGUAUCCGAUUUGCGUUUGGAUGAUGCGAGAUAGAGUCUUGUAAUUCUUAG